CCUACGGAGGCAGCAGUAGGGAAUUUUCGUCAAUGGGCGCAAGUCUGAACGAGCGAUGCCGCGUGAGUGAAGAAGGCCUUCGGGUCGUAAAGCCCUGUUGCGGGGGAAAAAGGCAGCAUCAGGAAAUGGGUGCUGACUGAUGGUGCCCCGCCAGAAAGUCACGGCUACCAACGUGCCAGCAGCCGCGGUAAUACGUAGGUGGCGAGCGUUAUCCGGAAUGAUUGGGCGUAAAGGGUGCGCAGGCGGUCCGGCAAGGCUGGAGUGAAACGCAUGAGCUCAACUCAUGAAUGGCUUUGGAAACUGGAGGACUGGAGAGCAGGAGAGGGCGGUGGAACUCCAGGUGUAGCGGUAAAAUGCGUAGAUAUAGGGAAGAACACCAGUGGCGAAGGCGGCCGGCUGGACUGUUGCUGACGCUGAGGCACGAAAGCGUGGGGAGCAAAUAGGAUUAGAUACCCUUGUAGUC
rnacentral:rRNA from 1 species